rnacentral:lncRNA from 1 species
CAAUAUACUCGAUCACACAGCUUGAUACCAAGCACUGGAUGUGGUCGAGUAUCAGGUCGAGUAAUUUAACAGAAACUGUAAACAAGGUACUCGACUGCACAGUUUGUUACCAAACUACUGGGUGUGGUCGAGUACUUCAAAUAAAACAGGGUAGAAAUGAUAAAACUGAGCAACAAGUAACAAGAUCAAGCAAUCAAUAGCGAUGUAAACAAGGAAAUCAAAUGGAAGAGAAAUUCCCGAGGAUGGGGUGAUCGAGUAGUGAUGUCUCCUUAAUCUAACAGGUGGUUAACAUGCUCAACAAACUAUCCCUAGACAACAUGUUCAAUAGCCAAAUCAAAGUGCUACCGCAACAGAGAUCCUCAAGCAAAGCUAGUCCCAGACUCAAUCACCAUUGACGAGAGCUAACCUAACAGGCAUUACGAAACAACAAGUCUAAGCCAAAACGCUCCCUGUAACCAAUACCUUGGUACAGAGCCACGAAUCUC